UGGACUCAAGGCAUUAGGCGAGGGCUGUCUACCUUCUGGAGGAGGGAUGACCUCAUCCAAUAGCUUCUGCUUUAUCCGCUUCCAGAUCUUUUUGAUGACGAUCCGCAGCUCCUGGUUGGCUUGCUCCAGGUUUCCUGCAUUGAGGAGAGUGUGGGCAGAACAAGGUCCACCAGCUCUUCAUUGCUUCCUCCCAUCAAAACCCCAAGGCCCAGAGGACGGGGUGAUGGAAAACCUGGAGUAUCUAUUGACUGGGUAAUGGGGGGCACAGCUCACAGUUUUGGUAUUCCUGUUCACCCUGGGCGCGGAAGGUGAUGAUGACAAAGCCCACGAAGAUGUUCAUCAUGAAGAAUGCGAUGAUGAUGAUGUAGACAAUGAAGAACACGGAGAUCUCCACAUGGUAAUUAUAGAU
rnacentral:lncRNA from 1 species